AACGAACGCUGGCGGCAUGCCUAACACAUGCAAGUCGAACGAGACCUUCGGGUCUAGUGGCGCACGGGUGCGUAACGCGUGAGAACCUGCCCUUAGGUUGGGAAUAACUCCCCGAAAGGGGUGCUAAUACCGGAUAAUGUUUUCGGACCAAAGAUUUAUCGCCUUUGGAUGGGCCCGCGUUGGAUUAGCUAGUUGGUAGGGUAAAAGCCUACCAAGGCGACGAUCCAUAGCUGGUCUGAGAGGAUGAUCAGCCACACUGGGACGGAGACACGGACCAGACUCCUACGGGAGGCAGCAGUGGGGAUUAUGGGACGAUGGGCGAAAGCAUGAUCCAGCAAUGCCGCGUGAGUGAUGAAGGCCUUAGGGUUGUAAAGCUCUUUUACCCGGGAUGAUAAUGACAGUACCGGGAGAAUAAGCUCCGGCUAACUCCGU
rnacentral:rRNA from 1 species